rnacentral:rRNA from 1 species
CUACCUCUUCCCAUUCCGAACAGAGAAGUCAAGCCCGCCAGAGCCGAUGGUACUGCGGUAAAACGUGGGAGAGUAGGUCGGUGCCCAAU